GACGAACGCUGGCGGCAGGCUUAACACAUGCAAGUCGAACGAAGCCUUCGGGCUUAGUGGCGGACGGGUGAGUAACACGUGGGAACGUACCUUUUGGCUCGGAACAACACAGGGAAACUUGUGCUAAUACCGAAUGAGCCCUUAGGGGGAAAGAUUUAUCGCCAUUAGAGCGGUCCGCGCUGGAUUAGCUAGUUGGGGGGGUAAAGGCCCACCAAGGCUACGAUCCAUAGCUGGUCUGAGAGGAUGAUCAUCCACACGGGGGCGGAGGCACGGCCCUGACUCCGUCGGGAGGCAGCAGUGGGGAAUUUUGCGCAAUGGGCGAAAGCCUGACGCAGCCAUGCCGCGUGAAUGAUGAAGGUCUUAGGAUUGUAAAAUUCUUUUACCAGGGACGAUAAUGACAGUACCUGGAGAAAAAGCUCCGGCUAACUUCGUGCCAGCCGCCGCGGUAA
rnacentral:rRNA from 1 species